UACGUAGGUUGCGAUCGUUGUCCGGGAUUAUUGGGCGAAAAGCGCGCGCAGGCGGUCCCUUAAGUCUGAUGUGAAAGCCCACGGCUCAACCGUGGAGGGUCAUUGGAAACUGGGAGACUUGAGUACAGAAGAGGAGAGUGGAAUUCCACGUGUAGCGGUGAAAUGCGUAGGUAUGUGGAGGAACACCAGUGGCGAAGGCGACUCUCUGGUCUGUAACUGACGCUGAGGCGCGAAAGCGGGGGGAGCAAACAGG
rnacentral:misc_RNA from 1 species